rnacentral:rRNA from 1 species
GACAUGGCUCAGGAUGAACGCUAGCUACAGGCUUAACACAUGCAAGUCGAGGGGCAGCAUGGUCUUAGCUUGCUAAGGCCGAUGGCGACCGGCGCACGGGUGAGUAACACGUAUCCAACCUGCCGUCUACUCUUGGACAGCCUUCUGAAAGGAAGAUUAAUACAAGAUGGCAUCAUGAGUCCGCAUGUUCACAUGAUUAAAGGUAUUCCGGUAGACGAUGGGGA